GAUGAACGCUGGCGGCGUGCCUAAUACAUGCAAGUCGAGCGAACAGACGAGGAGCUUGCUCCUCUGACGUUAGCGGCGGACGGGUGAGUAACACGUGGAUAACCUACCUAUAAGACUGGGAUAACUUCGGGAAACCGGAGCUAAUACCGGAUAAUAUAUUGAACCGCAUGGUUCAAUAGUGAAAGACGGUUUUGCUGUCACUUAUAGAUGGAUCCGCGCCGCAUUAGCUAGUUGGUAAGGUAACGGCUUACCAAGGCAACGAUGCGUAGCCGACCUGAGAGGGUGAUCGGCCACACUGGAACUGAGACACGGUCCAGACUCCUACGGGAGGCAGCAGUAGGGAAUCUUCCGCAAUGGGCGAAAGCCUGACGGAGCAACGCCGCGUGAGUGAUGAAGGUCUUCGGAUCGUAAAACUCUGUUACUAGGGAAGAACAAAUGUGUAAGUAACUAUGCACGUCUUGACGGUACCUAAUCAGAAAGCCACGGCUAACUACGU
rnacentral:rRNA from 1 species